AUCCUGGCUCAGGAUGAACGCUAGCUACAGGCUUAACACAUGCAAGUCGAGGGGCAGCAUUAGGUAGCAAUACUGAGAUGGCGACCGGCGCACGGGUGCGUAACGCGUAUCCAACCUUCCCGUUACUCUCGGAUAGCCUUCCGAAAGGGAGAUUAAUACGAGAUGGUGUUUGAAUUCCGCAUCUUUACUCAAUUAAAGAAUUUCGGAAACGGAUAGGCUCGCGUGACAUUAGCUAGAUGGCGGGGUAACGGCCCACCAUGGCUACGAUGUCUAGGGGGUUCUGAGAGGAAGGUCCCCCCACACUGGAACUGAGACACGGUCCAGACUCCUACGGGAGGCAGCAGUGAGGAAUAUUGGUCAAUGGUCUGACGACUGAACCAGCCAUGCCGCGUGAAGGUCACGGCCCUAUGGGUCUUAAACUUCUUUUGUAAGGGAGCAAUAAGGUGCACGUGUGCAUCGAUGAGAGUACCUUACGAAUAAGCAUCGGCUAACUCCGUG
rnacentral:rRNA from 1 species